rnacentral:lncRNA from 1 species
GGGUACCUUGGCAGAUUGCUCAUUUACUUGGAACAAAUCUUACUACCGAAACAAGAAGGCAACUAUAGAUCUGUCUUCAUUAUCUUUACAACACUGACUAAUAUUUCAGAGUUCACAUAAGCAUACAUGCUUUGCCUAGUGCUAGAACCGGAAAAUACUUAUAUGCAACAAAGGAUAAUACUCAUACAGCCUUAUCCAUCACUAAAAUGCCACAUUUCUCGCUCUGUCGAUGUUUCGAAUUACUGGACCAGCACAUCCAUAUCAUCUCCACCAUUUCCUGCAUCCUCUUCAGCCAUUUUCCUCUUCUUUUCUUCUUCCUCUGCAAAAAGUAUGUAAAUUAAUAAGUUUCCGAAGCAGCUAGAGCAAGACUAACAUGUCAAACAAUACAGUCAGGCAAAAUCAAUAGACUUCCAUAAGGUAAUAUGCUUCAAUACUAGGUAGAAAAUCCCAAAUAUGAUAAGACACUCUAGAGUCAAUCAAAAUUAGAUUCCGAAGAAAAGCAUACCCAUAAUAUGCCAAAAAAGGUCGUCCAUCUAGAUCACACAUGAAGAGCAUAACUCGUAACCACUAUGUUCAGACUGCUUUAUCAGCUUGAUCCUAGGAUAUUCACAACCCACACAAACACGGCAGCUUGCUGUCUAACAGACCGCACCAUGCUGCUAUCUAACAGACCGAGCCAUGCUACUGCCUAACAGAUCAAGGGUAUCUCUUUUCUUUGCCUAAUGCCAUGGUUAUUCAAGAAAAGUAUGACCCCAUGCUUAUAUUUACCAACUCAUCUAAUAUAAUUAUCUUGUUCAUUAAGAUUACGGACUAACUCAAUGAUAGUUUCAAGAGUUUCUCCCACAUUUCUCCACUUGCUUAAAACCCACUAGUUCAAAAUAUAUCUAGCUGCACGCAAAUAUUUAUGGUGUUGCUCUGAUCACACCUUAUCAAUGAG